rnacentral:rRNA from 1 species
CUUGUUGGUGAGGUAAUGGCUCACCAAGGCGACGACGGGUAGCCGGCCUGAGAGGGUGACCGGCCACACUGGGACUGAGACACGGCCCAGACUCCUACGGGAGGCAGCAGUGGGGAAUAUUGCACAAUGGGCGAAAGCCUGAUGCAGCGACGCCGCGUGAGGGAUGACGGCCUUCGGGUUGUAAACCUCUUUCAGUAGGGAACAAGGCCAGACGUUGUCUGGUUGAGGGUACUCGCAGAAGAAGCGCCGGCUAACUACGUGCCAGCAGCCGCGGUAAUACGUAGGGCGCAAGCGUUAUCCGGAAUUAUUGGGCGUAAAGAGCUCGUAGGCGGUUUGUCGCGUCUGCCGUGAAAGUCCGGGGCUCAACCCCGGAUCUGCGGUGGGUACGGGCAGACUAGAGUGAUGUAGGGGAGACUGGAAUUCCUGGUGUAGCGGUGAAAUGCGCAGAUAUCAGGAGGAACACCGAUGGCGAAGGCAGGUCUCUGGGCAUUAACUGACGCUGAGGAGCGAAAGCAUGGGUAGCGAACAGGAUUAGAUACCCUGGUAGUCCAUGCCGUAAACGUUGGGCACUAGGUGUGGGGGACAUUCCACGUU